CCCGCCUCUCCCCGGGCUGUGCGCGCUGCUGGCCGGCUGCAGUGAUUGGAGGGCGGGCUGCUCGGGCUGCGGGUCUGUCUGCGCAGCGCAGGAGAGGAAUGCGGCUCCAGCAGUGCGGAGAGACGCGGAGGCUCAACCUGGACAAAAACACCCGCAGGAACCGGAUUAAACGCCUUUAAACUACGGCAGGAGUGACUGUGAGACCCGCGAGUACACUGCGGCGUGUAUCGGGGGAGGCGGACACCGGCUGGGGGCACUCUGCCGCGGGGAAGCGGCGGCGGAUUCCCGGGGUGACGAAAAAAAGUUCUUCUCUACUUUAACUGAGGGAUUUGUGGACGCCUUAUUGGAGAUUUACUGCCUGGAAAAUACCUCAGAACAGGGAAUCUUACCUCAGAGUCUGAUCAGUCUGCUCGGUUCCUUCUCUCUGGAUCAUCAUGGCUUACCGCAUCGGCUUCCCUCUCAGUGGCUGUGCGAGUGUGUGCGGCGGAAGCUGUUGUUUACAGAUGGAAGUGUGAGUGUCGGGGGCCUCGUGCGAGUGUGAGGGAUCCGUGCUCUCUUAUUGACUGCGCCGCACAGCCUCGGGCCUCCAGGAUCUUCUCCAGGACCAGCCUCGGCAUGCCUGCCAGCACUAAUCCUGUAUCUCUGUAUCUCAGUCCUGCUUCUGUGUUCCUCAAACUUGACCUUGUGACUUGUUUGCAACGUUCAAACCUUUUGGAUGGAUGAAAAAUUAAAAUGGGUGAUUUUUUUAGGAAUAAAUACUAAAUUUUAAAUGGUAACA
rnacentral:lncRNA from 1 species